rnacentral:rRNA from 1 species
CCUUCGGGAUGCUGACGAGCGGCGGACGGGUGAGUAAUGCUUAGGAAUCUGCCCAGUAGUGGGGGAUAGCCCGGGGAAACCCGGAUUAAUACCGCAUACGCCCUACGGGGGAAAGCAGGGGAUCUUCGGACCUUGCGCUAUUGGAUGAGCCUAAGUCGGAUUAGCUAGUUGGUAGGGUAAAGGCCUACCAAGGCAACGAUCCGUAGCUGGUCUGAGAGGAUGAUCAGCCACAUCGGGACUGAGACACGGCCCGAACUCCUACGGGAGGCAGCAGUGGGGAAUAUUGGACAAUGGGGGCAACCCUGAUCCAGCCAUGCCGCGUGUGUGAAGAAGGCUUUCGGGUUGUAAAGCACUUUCAGCGAGGAGGAAGGCUUUCAGACUAAUACUCUGGAGGAUUGACGUUACUCGCAGAAGAAGCACCGGCUAACUCCGUGCCAGCAGCCGCGGUAAUACGGAGGGUGCAAGCGUUAAUCGGAAUUACUGGGCGUAAAGCGCGCGUA